UACAGAGGUCUCAAGCGUUGUUCGGAUUCAUUGGGCGUAAAGGGUGCGUAGGCGGCGCGGUAAGUCGGGUGUGAAAUUUCGGAGCUUAACUCCGAAACUGCAUUCGAUACUGCCGUGCUUGAGGACUGGAGAGGAGACUGGAAUUUACGGUGUAGCGGUGAAAUGCGUAGAUAUCUGGAGGAACACCGGUGGCGAAGGCGGCAUCCUGGACCGAGAUUGACGCUGAGGCGCGAAAGCCAGGGGAGCAAACGGG
rnacentral:rRNA from 1 species